rnacentral:rRNA from 1 species
GCUAAGGUAGCGCAAUCACUUGCCCUUUAAUUGUGGGCUAGUAUGAAUGGCUAGACAAGAGCUUGGCUGUCUCAAAGGGGCUUAUGAAAAUUAACCUUUAGGUGCAGAGGCCUAAAUUUUAGUGAAAGACAAGAAGACCCUAUCGAGCUUUAAUUUUUUCUAUUAUUAUAANUAGUAUAAAUUUUUAUUGGGGCAAUAAAGGAGCAAUUUAAGCCUCCUUAAAUCUAAAGUUAAACUAAUUUAUAAAAGAAACAUUUAUAAUGCUCUUAGGAAAAAGCUACCGUAGGGAUAACAGACUAAUUUCCCUCAAGAGUCCACAUUGACAGGGAAGUUUGGCACCUCGAUGUUGGCUUAAAAAACAGUUAUGAAGCAGCACUCUAACC